GGCUGGUCCAGGUGCAGUGGUGUUUACAACCACUUGAAUAUACCCAGUUGCAGAUUUCUUUGUUCCUUCUCCACUCCCACUGCUUCACUUGACUAGCUUUAA
rnacentral:Y_RNA from 1 species